rnacentral:rRNA from 1 species
AUUGAACGCUGGCGGCAGGCCUAACACAUGCAAGUCGAGCGGAUGAAGGGAGCUUGCUCCUGGAUUCAGCGGCGGACGGGUGAGUAAUGCCUAGGAAUCUGCCUGGUAGUGGGGGAUAACGUCCGGAAACGGGCGCUAAUACCGCAUACGUCCUGAGGGAGAAAGUGGGGGAUCUUCGGACCUCACGCUAUCAGAUGAGCCUAGGUCGGAUUAGCUAGUUGGUGGGGUAAAGGCCUACCAAGGCGACGAUCCGUAACUGGUCUGAGAGGAUGAUCAGUCACCCUGGACCUGCGCACCGGCCCAGGCCCCUCCGGGGGGCCCCGGUGGGGAUUUUUGGACAAUGGGCGAAAGCCUGCCCCAGCCAUGCCGCGUGUGUGAAGAAGGUCUUCGGUUUGUAAAGCACUUUAAGUUGGGAGGAGGGGAAGUAAGUUAAUACCUUGCUUUUUUGCCCUUCCCAACAGAAUAAGCCCCGGCUAACUUCGU